rnacentral:lncRNA from 1 species
GCUACAGCCACCCCAGCCUUCAGCCAGCCACCACCCUGAACAGUCAGCAGCCAUCAGCAUUGAGGCAUGACAUCCACCAGCAAAAAGACUAUGACUCACUGAAAGCUGAGUUAUAUAAAGAGUUAGCAUUUUUUAGCAAUUAAGUAUUUUUAAAUUAAGGUUUAUGGAUUGUAUUUUUUAGACAUAAUACUCUUACACACUUAAUAGACCAUAAUGUAGUAUAAACUUUUAUAUGUACUUUUUUAAUUAAAAAAUUCAUUUGACUGGCUUUUUUUGUGACAUUUACUUUAUUGCAGGUGUCUAGAACCAAAUCCACAAUAUCUCGAGGUAUGCAUGUAAUUAGACGUCAGAGUCGCCAUUAGAAUGUGCUGAUGGCAAUCUAGAACAUGAGGAACAUGAACAUCCAGGGUGGGAACUUCCUUAUCUGGAGGAAAUCUGCUACCCAGACAGCAACCCCUUCCCAGAUCCUUGCUGAGUGAAGUGACUAAACUCCAUCUCUCCCACCCAUCUGGUUGGAAGCCGAAAGCCAGAAGCCCCAUGUCCCCAGCAGCAGCAGGAAGAAGCCAAAGUCCCUCUCCACUCAGCUAGGAGACCUGUUGGAGAUUCGGAUUCGGAUACACUUGCCAAAGUGCAGGGAGGUUGGAACUGGGCAUCAGUGGGCGUGUGUUCUCACAUCCUCGUCUACAUCAGUGCUGUCUGCCGAUGCUUUUGUCGUACAGAUCACAUCAACUUAAAGGCAGUUAUCAAGAAGCCCCCCUUGGCAUACCCACCAACUGCCUGCCUUUCCUACCAUUAAUCAGUGUCUGCUAAUUGGAGAACAGUUGUUUAUCUACCAACACCCUACCCCCAAGGCAGUUAAAAUGAAU